UUGACGCUGGCGGCAGGCCNCACACAUGCAAGUCGAACGGUAGCACUNCNGAGCUUGCUCUCGGGUGACGAGUGGCGGACGGGUGAGUAAUGUCUGGGAAACUGCCUGAUGGAGGGGGAUAACUACUGGAAACGGUAGCUAAUACCGCAUAACGUCGCAAGACCAAAGAGGGGGACCUUCGGGCCUCUUGCCAUCAGAUGUGCCCAGAUGGGAUUAGCUAGUAGGUGGGGUAACGGCUCACCUAGGCGACGAUCCCUAGCUGGUCUGAGAGGAUGACCAGCCACACUGGAACUGAGACACNNUCCAGACUCCUACGGGAGGCAGCAGUGGGGAAUAUUGCACAAUGNGCGCAAGCCUGAUGCAGNCAUGCCNCGUGUAUNAANAAGGCCUUCNGNUUGUAAAGUACUUUCAGCGGGGAGNAAGGUGUUGUGNUUAAUAACCNCACCNAUUGACNUUACC
rnacentral:rRNA from 1 species